rnacentral:rRNA from 1 species
UACGUAGGUGGCGAGCGUUGUCCGGAUUUACUGGGCGUAAAGAGCGCGCAGGCGGUCGUACAAGUCGCGUGUGAAAGCCCCCGGCUCAACUGGGGAGGGUCACGCGAUACUGUUCGACUCGAAGGCAGGAGAGGGUAGUGGAAUUCCCGGUGUAGUGGUGGAAUGCGUAGAUAUCGGGAGGAGCACCAGUGGCGAAGGCGACUACCUGGCCUGUUCUUGACGCUGAGGCGCGAAAGCUAGGGGAGCGAAUGGG